CAGGUCCCCUCUUCCCUAAAGGUCUCCCAUUGCAGUUGCUCUCAGCCUGAAAGUACAAGUGCUAGGGAGAGUGGCUUCUGCAAGGUUACCUUGUGUUCUCUAUUCCAGAAAUAUUCAGGCAGCUUCCUUAGGUCUUAUCCCACUGUUGGUGCUCUAGUCUGUAUGUUCACUUUUAUAUCCAAGUGUCUCCUUUUUUUCCCCCCUUAGCCUUCUCUAGCCUUUGGUUCCUCAAAUAUUCCGUUGUAGUCUUAUUUUAUUAAACAUGUCACAAAUCUG
rnacentral:lncRNA from 1 species